CUGGCUCAGGAUGAACGCUGGCGGCGUGCUUAACACAUGCAAGUCGAACGAAGCACUUUAUUUGAUUUCCUUCGGGACUGAUUAUUUUGUGACUGAGUGGCGGACGGGUGAGUAACGCGUGGGUAACCUGCCUUGUACAGGGGGAUAACAGUUGGAAACGGCUGCUAAUACCGCAUAAGCGCACAGCAUCGCAUGAUGCAGUGUGAAAAACUCCGGUGGUAUAAGAUGGACCCGCGUUGGAUUAGCUAGUUGGUGAGGUAACGGCCCACCAAGGCGACGAUCCAUAGCCGACCUGAGAGGGUGACCGGCCACAUUGGGACUGAGACACGGCCCAAACUCCUACGGGAGGCAGCAGUGGGGAAUAUUGCACAAUGGGCGAAAGCCUGAUGCAGCGACGCCGCGUGAGCGAAGAAGUAUUUCGGUAUGUAAAGCUCUAUCAGCAGGGAAGAUAAUGACGGUACCUGACUAAGAAGCACCGGCUAAAUACGUGCCAGCAGCCGCGGUAAUACGUAUGGUGCAAGCGUUAUCCGGAUUUACUGGGUGUAAAGGGAGCGCAGGCGGUGCGGCAAGUCUGAUGUGAAAGCCCGGGGCUCAACCCCGGUACUGCAUUGGAAACUGUCGUACUAGAGUGUCGGAGGGGUAAGCGGAAUUCCUAGUGUAGCGGUGAAAUGCGUAGAUAUUAGGAGGAACACCAGUGGCGAAGGCGGCUUACUGGACGAUAACUGACGCUGAGGCUCGAAAGCGUGGGGAGCAAACAGGAUUAGAUACCCUGGUAGUCCACGCCGUGAACGAUGAAUACUAGGUGUUGGGAAGCAUUGCUUCUCGGUGCCGUCGCAAACGCAGUAAGUAUUCCACCUGGGGAGUACGUUCGCAAGAAUGAAACUCAAAGGAAUUGACGG
rnacentral:rRNA from 1 species